rnacentral:rRNA from 1 species
AGUGAACGCUGGCGGCAGGCCUAACACAUGCAAGUCGAGCGGCAGCGGGUCCCCGCGAGGGGAUGCCGGCGAGCGGCGGACGGGUGAGGAACACAUCGGAAUCUGCCUGGUUGUGGGGGAUAACGUAGGGAAACUUACGCUAAUACCGCAUGAGACCCUGAGUCGACGGACUGGGGGUGAAAGUGAGGGACCUUCGGGCCUCACGCGACCAGAUGAGCCGAUGUCGGAUUAGCUAGUUGGCGGGGUAACGGCCCGCCAAGGCGACGAUCCGUAGCUGGUCUGAGAGGAUGAUCAGCCACACUGGGACUGAGACACGGCCCAGACUCCUACGGGAGGCAGCAGUGGGGAAUCUUGGGC